UGCAAAGCUGAAUUGUCAGAAUCAUUACUCCAAUCUUCAGUGUCACAUGAUCCUUCAGAAAUCAUUCUAAUGCUGCACAUAUUAGCCUCCCUCAGUCCUUGUGUGGCCUUUCUCAAACCAAAACCUUUCCAGUCUCACCAUUGUGGUCAGUAAUGCACUAAAUGCAGCAUUUUCAGCACGUCAUAAGUCACGGAGCUCGCUUUUGUUGGUGAAACGAAAUUCUUCCACAGUCCAUAAAUUGAACAACAACCAAGAGAAACACACUGACCUCGUUCUCAUUCACAGCAUCUUCAGCCAGCAGCCACUGCUCAAAACACUGAAGGUUUAUUGAAGAAUUUCGGAAACAAACUGGUCUGAACACAGGUAUCAGUAAGCAUGGCGUCAGUUCUGUCACAGCUGAUGGGUCAGUGGAUGGAUGUUCAGGGUCUCCUGAUCUUUCUGUGUGUGCUACUGCUGGUCAAACACCUGCGAGAUGUUCUUACAAACAACAUGCCGCCAGGACCCUUCCCCCUGCCUUUGGUUGGAAACGUACUGAAUAUAGGCUUCAGUGAUCCAAUGGAGGUUUUUCCAAAGAUUGCUGAGAGGUAUGGAGAUGUGAGCACACUGUAUCUGGGAAACAAACCUUGCAUACUGCUCACUGGAUACGAGAGUUUCAAAGAGGCGUUUGUGGAGCAGGCGGACAUCUUCACAGACCGGCCGUACUUCCCUGUGAACGACAAGAUCUGUAAAGGGAAAGGUCUGAUCUUCUCUAGUGGACACAUGUGGCGUCAUCAGAGGCGUUUUGCUCUGGCAACGCUGAAGUAUUUCGGUGUGGGCAAGAAAACUCUAGAAAACUCAAUCCUGGAGGAGUGUCGCUUUGUUUGUAGUGCUUUGCAAACCAAGCAAGGUUUGCCAUUCAACCCUCAUCACCUCUUGACCUGCGCAGUGGGCAAUAUAAUAUGCAGCCUGGUUUUUGGCUACAAGUUUGAGUAUGACGACCAUCAUUUUCAUGAGCUGCUGCAGUAUUCAGAUGAAACCUUUAAGCUGCCCAUCAACGUCUGGGGCCGGUUGUAUAACACGUUUCCCGCUCUGAUGUCCCUGCUGCCAGGAAAGCACCAGACUGCAUUUGCCAACCUUUCCAAGCUUAAGCUCUUUUUUAAGGAGGAAAUCAGGAAGCACAAAAACGACCGAAACCCAUCUAGUCCUAGAGACUACAUUGACUGUUAUCUGGAGGAAAUUGAGAAGUGUAAGGACAAUGAGGCCGAAUUCACUGAGGAAAACCUGAUACACUGUGUGUUGGAUCUGUUUGGAGCAGGAACCGAAAGCACUGCUAAAUCACUCAGCUGGGCUUUACUCUACAUGGCUAAGUUUCAAGAAGUGCAAGAGAAAGUCCAUUCUGAGAUUGAUCAGGUGAUUGGACAGAUGCGUCAGCCCUUGAUGGAAGACAGGGCACAUCUGCCGUACACCUACGCAGUGAUGCAUGAGAUUCUGAGGUUCGCAAAUGUUCUUGCCUUCAUUCCACCGAGAGUUGCCAGCAAAGACACCACAGUAGCAGGAUGUCUCAUACCAAAGGGUGUGAUGGUGCUGCCAAUGCUGAAGCCAAUUCUGGAGGACAAGAAUGAAUAUCACAAUCCAUAUGAAUUCAACCCUGCUCACUUUCUGGAUGAAGAUGGCAAAUUUCUGAAGAGAGAAAAUUUCAUACCCUUUUCCAUAGACAGGACAUUCUUCGCACUCACCAGUGCUGAGCUGGGGUCGGGGUGGAGAUGAAAAUAAGAAUAUAUAUACCAGGUUGAUCUGGUUAGAAACACUGAGACAUACUUCUCAUUUGCUUCAUUAAGUCUCAGACAACACAGUCUUCAGACACAUUCAGGAAAAAGAACUACAACCAUAUCAUUUAAAGCUGUCAGACUGGAGUCAAAGAGGUGGACAGAGACAUGUAGCGAGGUUUGUGGCUCAUCUGUUUCUGAGGAUGUCACCACUAGAAUCACAAAUGUUUCCUCGUGGACACAUGCGGAGCCUGUGGUAAAUGCUCUGCCAUUGCAGGUCUGUUCUGUUGACCUCAUCAAAUCCAGGAUGGGACAGAAUCGACAAGAGCAUCACACCGAUCGUUAUCUUAGCGAUCACCUCAUCAUCCGCAGAGGACACUGUUUUAAGAUGUGGAUUGAGCUGUCCCGACCCUUCGAUCCAAACUGUGACCAACUUCACCUGGAGCUGAGUCAGUUAAGGCCUCUUUUCAUUAGAUGCCAUCUUGCUACCCACCCAGAUGUGUUCUGACAACCUAAAGAAACUGGCUAAUAAUGUCUUACAUUUAGAAAGACAAAACAAGUGCAAAAUCUGUAGUUAUUCUAUGUUCGGCCAAAAUACAAACCGGAAAGAUCACAAUAUUCUAACGGCAUACCCUUACCAUUAUUUCCUCUUCCUGUGUGGGUUUCAUUAGGUAAUAUCCCAUCAGCAGAGAUCGAGACGCUCAUGGUUGUUCCAAUAGUGAAGGAAUUCAAGAAAGAUUCCUGGGAAGCCAGGAUCAUUGAACAGAUUCAAAACCGAAUCAAACUGUGUGUUUACGCUCAGUCUGCUGCUUCUAUUGGACGGUACAAACUUACUAUCGUAACCAGCUGCCCAGGAGGAAAGGCCACUUCAACUGAAAGCAAUAUUUACAUUCAACCCCUGGUGUACAUGCAUGUGCCAAGAUAUUGGAUCCUCUUUUCAUUUUAUAAACCACAUCUUAAGCUUGAAACUGGACAAUAAUGAGGAAAAACUAGAAAAUACUGUUAAAUAUUUAAAAAUGUUCUCUUUAUUAGAUGACGGCGUGUACUUGAGUGAUGAGGCGGAGAGAGCUGAGUAUGUGCUGAAUGACAUGGGAAGAAUCUACUAUGGAACUAAGCAGCAGAUUGGCUGCAGAACAUGGA